rnacentral:rRNA from 1 species
ACACGGUCAUGCUUUAGUAGCGGCGAGUGAGCGGCAAAAGCUCAAAUUUGAAAUCUGGCGCCUUCGGUGUCCGAGUUGUAAUUUGAAGAUUGUAACCUUGGGGUUGGCUCUUGUCUAUGUUUCUUGGAACAGGACGUCACAGAGGGUGAGAAUCCCGUGCGAUGAGAUGCCCAAUUCUAUGUAAGGUGCUUUCGAAGAGUCGAGUUGUUUGGGAAUGCAGCUCUAAGUGGGUGGUAAAUUCCAUCUAAAGCUAAAUAUUGGCGAGAGACCGAUAGCGAACAAGUACAGUGAUGGAAAGAUGAAAAGAACUUUGAAAAGAGAGUGAAAAAGUACGUGAAAUUGUUGAAAGGGAAGGGUUUGAGAUCAGACUCGAUAUUUUGUGAGCCUUGCCUUCGUGGCGGGGUGACCCGCAGCUUAUCGGGCCAGCAUCGGUUUGGGCGGUAGGAUAAUGGCGUAGGAAUGUGACUUUACUUCGGUGAAGUGUUAUAGCCUGCGUUGAUGCUGCCUGCCUAGACCGAGGACUGCGAUUUUAUCAAGGAUGCUGGCAUAAUGAUCCCAAACCGCCCGUCUUGAACCACGGAC